CAAGGCGUAGCUACAACACAAAGCACUCAGCUUACACCUGAGAGAUAUCUGCACCCUAAUCAGAUCGCCUUGA
rnacentral:tRNA from 1 species